CCUACGGGGGGCUGCAGUGGGGAAUAUUGCACAAUGGGGGAAACCCUGAUGCAGCAACGCCGCGUGAGCGAUGAAGGCCUUCGGGUCGUAAAGCUCUGUCCUAAGGGAAGAAUACUGACGGUACCUUAGGAGGAAGCCCCGGCUAACUACGUGCCAGCAGCCGCGGUAAUACGUAGGGGGCUAGCGUUAUCCGGAAUUACUGGGCGUAAAGGGUGCGUAGGCGGCCCUUCAAGUCAGAGGUGAAAGGCUACGGCUCAACCGUAGUAAGCCUUUGAAACUGUAGGGCUUGAGUGCGGGAGAGGAGGUGGGAAUCCCCGGGGUGGCGGUGAAAGCGGUAGAAAUGGGGGGGACACCCGUUUGGGAAGGCGCCUCUCGGGACGUUAACGGCGGUUGGGGCAGGAAGCGUGGGGAGCGAACAGGAUUAGAUACCCCGGUAGUC
rnacentral:rRNA from 1 species